UACGUAGGGUGCGAGCGUUAAUCGGAAUUACUGGGCGUAAAGCGUGCGCAGGCGGUUUUGCAAGCCGGAUGUGAAAUCCCCGGGCUCAACCUGGGAAUGGCAUUCGGGACUGCAAGGCUGGAGUGCGGCAGAGGAGACUGGAAUUCCUGGUGUAGCAGUGAAAUGCGUAGAUAUCAGGAGGAAUACCGAUGGCGAAGGCAGGUCUCUGGGCUGACACUGACGCUCAUGCACGAAAGCGUGGGAGCAAACAGG
rnacentral:rRNA from 1 species